rnacentral:lncRNA from 1 species
CCUCAAAUAUUGAUGAUAGUGAAUUAUAAUUUAAUGAUAAAUUCCAUACAACAUUAAAUAAGUCAUACCUAUUAAAAUCAAACUAGGGAUUAUAUCAAAGAGAAAAACACUUAAUAAAUGGUAAUAUAAAUUAUACAAAUUUAGACUUUCCGCAAUUAGAAAUAAAAGGGACCUCAAUAAAAAAUUCUUUAAUCUUUACAUAGCUAGGUUGCGUGCUAACCAGAUAAAACAGAGAGAAGUUGAACAACACACUAAUUUUAUGAGGUAUGGGUUUAAGGUUUCACUAUACAAGUGCUACCCCCACCCUUAUAACUUGGUAAAAGGCUGUAAUUUCUUAUCUAUAUGCUCGAAUUGAUUUUCAAGCAUUAAUAUUGGGGGCUUUCUGAAACAAAUUUAUAGGCAUUAGACUUCAAGGUUACAAGUAUAUAUUCACUAAUCCUAGAAAAAUAUGUAGAAUUUGCAACUCUGAGAUAAUUUGGAUCAUUAGGAUUGCCUCGCAAAAUAUACAAAUUACACAUGUAAAUAUAAAAACACAAGAUUUCAAAGCCACAAACCAGAUUAUUACCUUUUGCCAUUUGAAUAUAUAUGAAUAUUGGUAAUCAUUUCUUAAAUGGAUUUCUUCCUAGAACUGAGUUAUCCGUGUCCAAUCCUUUCUUCCAAAGUUAGUGAUAUUGGACAAGCCUUGAUCGCCAUGUUGAUCUCAGGUUAAACUUUCUUGUCAAAUAUUAUUUGUAGCUGAAGGUAAAAGAUUACUAAUUAAUAACUUGCAGUUAUAAUAUAAUGAGAACAUAUGCUUCUGGUUCAUUUCAAGUAUAUACCUAUAUGCCAUUCCUUCUCCAUCAGAACUAAUGCAUGACUUUAACUCUGAUAUGUAUCGUUUUUAUCAUGAAACCAAGGAUCAUUAUUAGUAUAGCUUACUUGCAAUCUUAAAUAAAUUUUAUACAUGUGAAUUCUCGCUACAAGACAAAUCGAGAUAAGCUUAAAACUGAGGUGUGAUAGAAGAAGAAUUCUGAGGAGAGGAAAUACAACCAUUUCCUUAGAGUGAGAAUUACUUAACCACUGUUAGUUGAAACUCAUGGUGAAUCAUUCAAAAUUACUUGCAUCGCACCAGUCUUCCAUCAAGAGGUAAUGAAACACAUCUACCUUUCAAAUUUGUAAUUUUAAAUAAAGCACCACUUUCACUAAAAGAACUAAGUGGCUUCUUCGACCUUCUACAUUUGAUAUUGGGUGCCAAUAAGAAUGUCCGUGAAAGACUCAAGUUUUUCAUCCAUGGCAGCAAGCAUGGCCAGAAUAUCAACAUGUAGGCCCAAGAGAAUAAAAAAGGAAUUAGGAGCUUUGACCUUAGAGGAGAUGGCAACUACAGUAGCAUCAAACUAAUGCUAGAGAACCUAGGAAUCCUCCAUACUGACGAAAGCCUUAGAGUUAUAGCACUGUUUGAUAAGAAGGGGACGGAUUUCAACCAAAUUGAUAUUAUUUGCAUCAAAAAUAUGUGAGAUGACCAUGCCAUAAUGCAAUUUGUGAGGAUCAAAAGCAACUUCAAUCAUAUAGUUAAGCACAAAAGAGGAAAGCUUAAGUUUAUACUUGGAUAUAAGGUAGUAGGUAAGGAGAGAAUCAUGCUAAGUAAGGGAGGACAUAGAUCUUGCAUGAGGCAGGAGAGUGGUAGCCAUGAUGUGAGCGAUGACCCUAGUUUCAAAAGAAAGGGUUGGAGCCUUCAAGAGAAACAAAUUUCAUGGCUUGUAGAUUGGACCUCAUUGAAAAUCCUAAACAUGUUGCUUCCUGUAGUUCCAGUAGAGUUCACUUACGAGAUGGUACAUCUACUAAUGUUUCUUAUAUUUGAUCACCCAACUCAUCAGAUUUUCUCCAUCUUGACAAUGUUCUUUACACUCUCAAAAAAUGGCAAGCAACAAUCUCUCUUUCAAUGCUUCACAAAUUUCCACACACGAAAACUAUUAAAUUUGGUCGAUGAGCAUAACUCAUAUUUUGAUACCUAUAUGAAUGAUAUGUGAUGUUGUGAUGAAAGAAAUAUUCUAAGAAUAAUAUUUUGCAAAUCCUACAAAAGUUCAUAUUAAUGAACAUUCAAAAGUGCUUUUAGAUAUGACAAGGUUAUUGAGGGCGUUUUUUAAGCACAAAACCAAAAGAAGAAGGUUAAAAAGAAGAAAUUUUUAAAGUUAAAAAACAAUGAAUAGAAUUCAGCAUCAACUGUCAAAGUAGAAAUUGAGGAGGAUCAUUUUUUCAAUUGCAGUAAUUAAAGCAAAGGAGGAGUGUUGAAUUUUACUUUAGUUACUGUAGUAAUUUUUAAUAUAAUAAACUACCUAGGUUUAGGAUAGAUUUGAAAUUUAAUUUUUCACUCGAUUGUUUUAGUUGUUGAAAAAUUCUAGAUUUUUUGAAUUUUGAAUUGCAGAUUUCUAAAUAUUAUGUGGUCAAAUUGGCAAUUUAAAGCCCUUCAAUGCUUAAUAAAUUUUUUGAGAGACAUUUGAAUCCAUACUUUUUGCUUCCCCAUCUUUAAAAAAGCCUUCAUCUUCAUUCUCGUCUCCCUCCAACUACAUAUUUUCCCACAACUAACUUACACUCCGAAGAUCUCUUUCUUUCUUCUCCUUAACUUCCUGAUAUGUCCUCUACUCUUGAUCUUAUUUUUACUUCUACUUCUUCCUCUAUUCCUGCUCCAUGUGCCCCUGCAUGACCUCUUGAAAAAACUACUUCUUGUAGUAAAUCAUUCAUUUCUAAAUAAGCUUUUUCUUUGCGUUUGUUAAUUACCCGUAGGGGGGUGACACUAGUGCUUAUCAAAACGAUAUGUUCAUCUCACAAGAUCACAAUGAUGCAACAAUAUCCUUUUUAAUAUAUGGAACAAUUGAUUCUCUAGUAUUAAAUUUGGAUACGAAUUGGGGGGGGGGGACUCUUCUUGUGUGGCUCUCUUACCUCAUAUGGAAUUUUGAUAGUUCCUGAUUGUCAUAAAGGUUUUCAAGGGAGGGAGAGAGGGGGGGGGGGGGGGGGUCAAAAUUGCAAUGGAACUUCUGGGAAAAAAUAUAAUGACAUUAGCUAAAGUGUAUCGGUGGUGACUUUUGGGUUCCAAGUAUUGGUAAACAACACUUGCUGCAACUCAUCUCUCAUAAAAUUCAUGAUUUCAAAACUGUUAUCAAGUGCAACUGAUAUUGCAAAGUGGAGUUGAUGGUUUGAUAUUGAUGCUAAUGCUUCUAAAGAUUAAGAGUAAGUUUUUUUUAAUUAUAUAUGUUAUUCUGUCUAAAGAUGAGAUGAUGUACCUAUUGUUGCUCUUUUGUUUUUUUCAUCAUCAACAGUCUUGAAUAAUAUGUGUUGUAUUUUUAGUGGCAAUGGUUGGUAGUAUGAUAUUAUUGUAUCGUAUUGUUUCGCGAUUAUCUAAAAUUACUCAUUUUUGAUAGUUAACUGCCCGUUUGAUUUUGUUAUGCAUGACUCAUCUUGAUCACCAACCAACUUUAUAGUAGAAUGAGUGGAAGUUAGUAUAGAUCUAAGUCCCAUAUUUGGUGAUAAAUUCUACUAUUUGAAACAUUUAGGGUGUAGGCUCGAUCAGAUGAUUAAAUAAAAAACUAUUUUUUUGUACUUUUUUUUUACAAGUUUUGUUUACUUGAAACUUUUAUAUUAGUUUUUUAAAGACUAUGAAUUUAUUCCAGCCUCGAACUUUGUUGUUCUCUUCUUUUCUUACAAAUUCAUUUUACAAGUAGAUGAUCAAUGGGAACUCGAACCCACUGAUUGAUAAAAUGGGGAAUCAAACCAAAAUAUAUAGAUCUCAAGUUGACAUGCAAUAUAGUUAAUUAACUUUUAUUAGAUAGUUAUUGUUUGUACAUUUGAGUCAGUUUUAUGGAAAAUAUGACAAAGCCAAUUAAGUCAGAUUUUCAAAUAGAAGAAUCAUGUUAAACCAAUUAAGUCAGCUUUUUGCAGAGUUCAAUUCUCCCAAUUUAUCAAAAAAAAUUUAAAAAAUAAGGUUGAUUGAUUUGUUAAAAAAUGUUGUAAUUUCUUGCAAGAUAUUCAAUACUGGGAUGAUCUAAUUUUUAUAAAUCGGAGGAUCACCAAAGGAGUCAACAACAAAAAAAACUCAUUGCUCAAAAGUGAAUAAUCUAAGCAAAUCAAAGAAACUUCAUUUAUUUUUUUCAUCACUUAAAUAACAAAAUGGAGCCAUCAAACUUUUGUAGCGAAUCGACACCAAUACGUGCUUACUAGAUGUUGCACUUGUAAAAAAUGAGUUACUAGUUUCUUGCCCAUGAUAACAUAAACAAACAAGUGAGGAUGAGGAACCAAGAACUGCUCAACUUAUUCUGUAUUCUCCACUUCCAGUUCUUUCACCAAUAAGGUUUAUACUCAAUCAACAACUGAUAUCAUUAUAUUUCUGCUUUAACUUUACCUUGUUAUUGUCAUUGAAAUUUAUGUAUGUAAAAGUAUGCUUUAUAUUGUCAGGCUCAAGAAAGCACAUUGGUUCCUAGUCAAGCGAUGAAGCAGCUCAUCAAUAUAGAUCAGGACGUUGAAUCAACUUUCCACAGGGUUUAGUCAUUCUUGAAGUCUGUACCAGAGCAACAUCCCAGGCAACAAUCUGGCCUCCAGAUCAAUAGUAACAAUUCUUCACCACAAAUUCACGCAAAGUUGAUAUUUGAAGGCUCCAUUAGACUGCCUUUGGAGGUAUUUGCUGAUGACCCGACAAAAGAAAAGGAAGUGCAUGAUGCAAUUAUUUCAUUAAGUGAUAAUCCCUCAUCGUUGUUUAGCGAUGAACAAGCCAAGCAAUUGCGAAGAAUCAAGUUUGAAUCCCCUUUCAUGGCUAAGAAAUGGAGGGACUUGGCACGAUCCAAGUCAAGUUGCCAGGAGUUCUUGACUAACUUUGAAGAGGACAUGAAAAAACUGGAUGAUUGGAUUAGAUAAGAACUAAGAUUGAAGGAUGCGUAUGAGGAAAAGGAGGAAGAAGCUUGAGAGUUGGAAGAACGACUUCAAGAUAUAAGGACUAGGCAGAAAGAAAUCAUGGAUGAAUGACAAAAAUGUUCUGGAAAAUCUCAAAGCACCAGCAAUAAAUUGGAUACAACAGAAGUGCAGAUGGAUGGAUUGUAGACAAACAUCCAUGGUAAACCAGAGUUUUUUUAGAUUUUCAAGACCAUUCUUGUCGUUCAUCCAUGAUAUCUUUCUGCUUGGUCCUUAUACCUUGAGUCGUUCUUCCAACUCUCGAGUAACCUUUAACCUUGGUUCUGAUCUAAUCCAAUCAUCCAGUUUUUUCCUGUCCACUUCAAAGUUGGUCAAGAACUGCUAGCAACUUGACUUGGAUCGUGCCAUGUCCCUCCAUUUCUUAACCAUGAAAGGGAAUUCAAACUUGAUUCUUCAUAAUUGCUUGGCUUGUUCAUCGCUAAACAAUGAUGAGGGAUUAUCAUUUAAUGCAAUAAUUGCAUCAUGCACUUCCUUUUAUUUUGUCGGGUCAUCAUCAAAUACCUCCAAAGGCAGUCUGAUGGAGCAUUCAAAUAUCAACUUUGCGUGAAUUUGCGGUGAAGAAGUGGUACUAUUGAUCUGGAGGCUGGAUUGUUGGCUGGGAUGCUGCUCUGGUAAAGACUUCAAGAAUGACUGAACCUUUUGAAAAUUUGAUUCGACGUCCUGAUCUAUAUUGAUGAGCUGCUUCAUCGCUUGACUAGGAACCAAUGUGCUUUCUUGAGCAUGACAAUAUAAAGCAUACUUUUACAUACAUAAAUUUCAAUGACAAUAACAAGGAAUAGUUAAAGCAUAAAUAUAAUGAUAUCGGUUAUUGAUUGAGUAUAAACCUUAUUUGGUGAAAGAACUAGAAGUGGAGAAUAUAGAAUAAGUUGAGCAGUUCUUGGUUCCCCAUCCUUACUUGUGCCACUUGAACAUUUGCUCUUUACCUAUUUUUUUUAAUAAUUCCCAAAAGAAUAAAAUAUAAUAUAUGUUAUAAAAUUUGAAAAUAUGUGUAAAAUUAUAAAUAUUAAAUAGUAUAGUUGGUUUGAUAUCUCUUUUACAUAAAAUCAAAAUCAAUCCAAAUUUUAUUGGUUUUUAAUAUUAAAUAACAAACCUAAUUUUUUUUUUUUGAGUUUUUAUGAAAUGAUUUGAUUUUUAGCUUGGUUCGGUUUAUUUGUUUUUUGUAAACACCGCUACCUACAAUUACCUAGAUGAUUCAAAUAUACCCCUUAUUCAUGAGGAUUUAGGAUUGUCCAAUGUGGAAACAUACAUUCUUAUGUGAUACUGAUAUUUUGAUGAUGUGUACACCACAUAACAUGGCACCUCAGUGCUCCAACCCAUUAUGCCCCUUACCUUUCUUUAUUCUUCCACCAUAAGCAUUUACUAUCCCUCCCUCACCAUUGCUAAUACCAUUAACAUUACUAAAAUUACAUUUAGGUCUUCUUUAUGAAAUUUUAGUCGAUUGUCUCUUUUAUAGAGACAUGUUUAGUACUCCUACUACUAACAUUGAUAAUGUCUCGUUAUUGUUGUUACAUGUCUCUCUCUCUGUCUCUCCUACUUCUAAUACCAAAAACUCAAUCCUUCUAUGACCUAGAUCCUUCGGCGAUAGGUAUGUAGCCUAUUAUGGCUACCCAAACUCAUGACAACCUUAAGCAAACACCAAUGUAGUGCAAUGAACUCCGUUAAAGACCUUCGACGCUGACUGAAAUUAGGCUUCUUGUUUCUUGUUUCUUUAAGAUUUACAGCGCCAACCAAGUUAUGUCUCUAUUUUCUAUCAUAGUUACUUCAUUUCAAAAUUGAUUGUGAUUUACUCCACAAUUCAUUAUGUCAAAGUAGGAGAUUAGUGUAUCGUUUAUUGAGGCACUAUGAAUGAAUCUAGCGAAACAUGGUCAAAUUUUGUGGCACCACAAAUAGAUGGCUUAGUCGAUCAGAAUGGGAUUAACUGUCAUAUUGAUCAUAUUUUGACUUAAAUAAAGAAUAAGGUUAGAGUCAAGUGAUAUUUUUCAAGUAGAAAUUUCUUUUUUCAAGCUCAUGUUAACAUUUUGUAAAGAAUAUUCUUAACAACAUUAAAGUUCAAAUUCAAAUGCUUUUAAAUGUUCUCAUGGUUUUAAGAAUUUGUACAUAAUGCGUUCAUGUUUUGCUAAGUCUCAUUCCAGCUUUAGUGAAGGGAUUAUUGCGAUUCAUUGAGUAUAUCUGUGGGUGUGCUAACUUUUCAUUUACCUGCGACCUACAUUGGUUAUGUCAAUGUUGAUACAUAUUUUUGAAAUGACCAGGUUACAAGGUAGGGCCUUCUCUUUCUCCAACAGAUAUUGGUUAGCUCUGGUAUGUUUCAUGGAAUAUUUUCUUUUCUUCAUAUUCAAUUGUGUAUUUAUUUGUUUGUUGUUUUGAGGAUUAGCUAGGAAGUCCCUGUCAUGUAGAAUUCAUGAGGUUUUUGUUUGAGGCUCCAUAGAUAGUGUCAGUUAGGUCAUAAAUUUCAUGUUUAUGUUAAAUUUAAUACAAUUUUUUUAAACUUUAUUUUGACAUAAAAUGUAUUGAUUUGGUUUUUUAAAAAAGAAUGAUUAGUUUUAGAAUUAUUACAUACUUUUAUCAAAUCAUAUUUUAAGUAGAUUUUUUUAAAAAAAAUUUGCAUUGUGCUACAUAGUAUUUUAUAUUUAUAUAUGGAGAUAAAAGUCAAGAUGGUCUACGUGGUCUAGUCUAGGCACCAUAUAUCUAUUCCAACUUGAUCAGAAAUUGGUGUUAUGAGAAAAUUAUUUCUUACUGCUCUCAUACUAUUCAUAAGUUUGUUUGUACCAGAUUUUCUUGUUUUCCAGAUGUACGUAGGAGUUGGCCUCAUAUUGUGAAAAUUUUGAAAGAAUGGUAACCUAGAUAUAGUUAUAAGAUUGUGAGGUGGUUGUAUCCUCAUCUUUGUUGGUAUAAGUGUAAUAUAGAUAGUACUGUUGGAAUACAUACUAUUAACCAUGUAUUUAGAUAUAGUAUUUAUCAUAGAAUAAUUAUUUAUUCAUUUUUAAUAGAUCAUAUGUUCGUUUAUGGUCUUUAUUUACUUAUAUAGUAGAUGAUUUAGUGUAUAGAGCUUUAGCUUAUACACAGAAGAUUAAAUCAUCGAUUCUUAUAAGUAUAAAAAUUUUCGUUCACAAUCUAUGAUGAGAAUUGGACAUGCCAUCAGUACAAUUGUAGCAUAAGAUUAUAUGUAAUUUAUUUUGAUUAUGGGAAGGGUAUAUUUCCAACUUCUUGUGCCAGUACAUUUUGUAUGUAUUGAACGGGACCGAGUAGAAAUAGUUGUUUUAGACUGACUGACAAAAACAUAUUCUCUAAGCUAUUAAAUGUACUUAUAUUCUUAAUCCUGAUAUAAAUAUUAUGAUCUAUAUAUGUGAAUUAUCGUUUUAAUUUAUUAAAAGGUGAGAUUCUAAGAUGGGUCAGUAUGCCUAGUAGAUUGGAUGAUAAUAAUAUAUAUUGGUGAAAUAAUAGGUUAGUUGACGAAAUCCAUGUUCCGAUAUAGAGAUUGAUGAUAUGUCUUUUUGAGAAGCUUAUUAGAUUUCAUCGUGUCAAACCUUACAAGUGGAUUUAUGAAUCCGACACAUGAAAUAAGUAAAGCAGUUCUCUAAAGAAAAUUGAUCAAUGUCGCGCCCCAUUUUUCGCAAAAAAUAGGUUUCGGUGCACGACCUAACAACUCUUUGGGUUUAUUUUUGUGAGUGAGAAAGAGUGAUUGUUUAUUGUUAAAGCCUUCCACCGUCAGAGAAUGAAUGAAAAAAUGUUUGUUUAUAUAGCAGGUAGAGGGCAGGCGGAAAAGGUAAAAGAGAUUAUUUUGAUUCGGUUGAAAUUAUUUUCCUUAAACGGAGAGACAGAUCAAUCCUAUUUUUACCAAAUAUCAACAAGUAAGAAGCAAUCAACUCUUAAAUAAGGUAAGGAAAAUCAAUCACAAUUUUACCAUAUUAAAAGAUAAGUAAGGAAGUCUGUCCCAACAUUUAAACAAGGGAAAGCAAACUUUAAUUACGAAAUAGGGUAAUGAUACAUAACGGCAACUCAAUCCUAGUGAACCAAAAUUAUAUUAGAAUAUACCAUAAAAGAGUUAACAAAUAACCUAUAUGCACAAUAAACCACUAAAACCACAAACUCAAAAAAUGGCAAGCAAUGACAAUACAGAAGAAUUUUUUAAACAGUGAUUUAAGGAAAGCAUUAAGGACGAAGCAGUUUAAGAAAUAUAGUAAAUUCAAUACCCAAACUGGCGCACUUUAAUCCAAAAUCAACAAUUUCAGCAAGGAAGCGGAUUACAUUCACACAGAUAUCAUAACACACUGAUGUCUUUUAAGAGAAACAAAGCUAACGAAAUUCUCACAAUAAUUAGUGGCCUCCGCACAGAGAAAACAUGCAACUCAACAACACGAAUACCAUAAUCAAGCUAAAAAAAUUUAAAUAGUGAAUCGAAAAAUGAAGCAAACCUGGACGGAUCUGUCAACAUCCAUCUUAAAUAAACUCGAAUUUUUUGGGAAAAAGGGGUUCGCCAGAUGGAGCACCAUUGUUGCUGCCGCUUGCUAGGGCUAUUGUUGUUCACUUCGCCUGCUGCUGGAGUUUCGCCGGAACCAGAUAAAAGGGUGGAAUUUGGAGUUUCCACCAACGCUGUCGGUUACAUGGUGGUUCGCUGCUUGCUGUUGGCUUCGCAUUCUCGCCGGAGUUUGUUGUUAUCGUUCGUCCCUGAUGGACGGAGCAGUUGAGGGAGAGAGAGAGCAACGAGCUUUCGCUGCUGCUGCCGGUGCUUACCAGUGGUCUGCUCGGCGGCUUUCACUAGAGUUGCUGGUGCGAGAGGGGAGACGGAGAAGCGACAGGAGAGAGGAGGCUGCCACCGGACUGCGUGGUGGCCAUCCUCGCCGACAAAGAUGAGGCAGAGAGGUAGAUGAGGCGGUGGACUU